rnacentral:rRNA from 1 species
UACGUAGGGGGCAAGCGUUGUCCGGAAUUAUUGGGCGUAAAGAGCGUGUAGGCGGCCAGAUAAGUCCGCUGUGAAAUCUCGAGGCUCAACUUCGAGCUGUCGGUGGAAACUAUCUGGCUAGAGUCCGGAAGAGGAGAAUGGAAUUCCUGGUGUAGCGGUGAAAUGCGCAGAUAUCGAGAGGAACACCAGUGGCGAAGGCGAGUCCCUGGACAUCUCCUGACACUGAGGCACGAAAGCUAGGGGAGCAAACAGG